UCAAAUGCGAAGAACAGGAAAUGACUUUUUUAUAACACCGUUUACAGAGAGUCGUACUAGAUGAGAAACGACAACAAGGAAUGAAAAAGCCCUCACCUGCGAGCUGUUUUUAUGAAAGAUGGGCCAGAAGGUUUGUUUAGUAGUGAAAACCGGAAACCUACGUUAAUGGGACACAUCUUCUGAUGGAAAGUCAGGUGAUGGUAGAGAGGUCAAUAGUUUUUGGCAAGCAAAGUGGUAACGCGGAAGUGAUAGCUUUCGUCUUUGCA
rnacentral:ncRNA from 1 species